rnacentral:rRNA from 1 species
AGUGAACGCUGGCGGUAGGCCUAACACAUGCAAGUCGAACGGCAGCACAGUAAGAGCUUGCUCUUACGGGUGGCGAGUGGCGGACGGGUGAGGAAUACAUCGGAAUCUACUUUUUCGUGGGGGAUAACAUAGGGAAACUUACGCUAAUACCGCAUACGACCUACGGGUGAAGGCAGGGGAUCUUCGGACCUUGCGCGAUUGAAUGAGCCGAUGUCGGAUUAGCUAGUUGGCGGGGUAAAGGCCCACCAAGGCGACGAUCCGUAGCUGGUCUGAGAGGAUGAUCAGCCACACUGGAACUGAGACACGGUCCAGACUCCUACGGGAGGCAGCAGUGGGGAAUAUUGGACAAUGGGCGCAAGCCUGAUCCAGCCAUACCGCGUGGGUGAAGAAGGCCUUCGGGUUGUAAAGCCCUUUUGUUGGGAAAGAAAAGCAGCAGGUUAAUACCCCGCUGUUCUGACGGUACCCAAAGAAUAAGCACCGGCUAACUUCGUG